GGCCGCCUGGCGAAAUGGCAUCGCGUCUGACUACGACUGUCUGUUGUAAUCAGGAGAUUGCAGGUUCGACCCCUGCGGUGGUCA